ACACAGAGGGGCAGUGCAAGGAAAAAGGCAGGUUCUCUGUGACUUGGUUUCCCCUUCUGCCAAAGGAAAACUAGCCCCAGCACCAUCCCUGCCUCCCACCUUCUCGGGAUGUCAUGAGGAGACUGCACGAGGUCCUGUGGCCCAAGCAUGAGCAAUAGCCAUCUGAGCGCCCCUUUGUGGAGCUGCGUGCCGGCGACAGGUGAAGGCACAGCCCUUUAGGAGCUUCUGCCUCUUCUUGCCUCAGAGGACUUCUCUACAGAUCACGAGAGGAAACACGUGGUCUCCUCUGUCUCCCAAGCUGGACUGCAGUAGCACAAUCAAGGCUCACUGCAGCCUUUGACUCCUGGGCUCAAUCGAUCCUCUCUCCUCAGCCUCCCAAGUAGCUGGGACUACAGGUGGGUGCCACCAA
rnacentral:lncRNA from 10 species